rnacentral:rRNA from 1 species
AGAGUUUGAUCAUGGCUCAGAUUGAACGCUGGCGGCAGGCCUAACACAUGCAAGUCGAACGGUAGCACAGAGAGCUUGCUCUCGGGUGACGAGUGGCGGACGGGUGAGUAAUGUCUGGGAAACUGCCUGAUGGAGGGGGAUAACUACUGGAAACGGUAGCUAAUACCGCAUAACGUCGCAAGACCAAAGAGGGGGACCUUCGGGCCUCUUGCCAUCAGAUGUGCCCAGAUGGGAUUAGCUAGUAGGUGGGGUAACGGCUCACCUAGGCGACGAUCCCUAGCUGGUCUGAGAGGAUGACCAGCCACACUGGAACUGAGACACGGUCCAGACUCCUACGGGAGGCAGCAGUGGGGAAUAUUGCACAAUGGGGGAAACCCUGAUGCGGCCAUGCCGCGUGUGUGAAGAAGGCCUUCGGGUUGUAAAGCACUUUCAGCGAGGAGGAAGGGAGUAAGGUUAAUAACCUUAUUCAUUGACGUUACCCGCAGAAGAAGCACCGGCUAACUCCGUGCCAGCAGCCGCGGUAAUAC